CAGGAUGUAAUUUCAGUGGUCUAGAAGCCUUGUUUUGGGGACAAGGAGUUGUAGGUUCAAAUCCUACUAUUCCGA
rnacentral:tRNA from 1 species